rnacentral:rRNA from 1 species
GCAAGUCGAGCGGAAACGACAACGUUUAAUCUUCGGCGGAUUUGUUGGGCGUCGAGCGGCGGACGGGUGAGUAAUGCCUAGGAAAUUGCCUUGAUGUUGGGGAUAACCAUUGGAAACGAUGGCUAAUACCGCAUAAUGCCUACGGGCCAAAGAGGGGGAUCUUCGGACCUCUCGCGUCAAGAUAUGCCUAGGUGGGAUUAGCUAGUUGGUGAGGUAAUGGCUCACCAAGGCGACGAUCCCUAGCUGGUCUGAGAGGAUGAUC